GUGCCAGCAGCCGCGGUAAGACGAAGGGCGCAAGCGUUAUCCGGAAUUACUGGGCGUAAAGGGCGUCUAGGCUGCCCGUCAAGUCGACGUUGAAAUUCCUCAGCUAAACUGAGGGAGGUACGUCGAAACUGGCAGGCUAGAGGGACGUAGAGGUAAGCGGAACUCUCGGAGUAGCGGGUGAAAUGCGUAGAGACCGAGAGGUACCCCGAUGGUGAAGACAGCUUACUGGGCGUCUCCUGACGCUGAAGCGCUAAGGCCAGGGGAGCAAAGGGGAUUAGAUACCCCCGUAGUCCUGGCUUCAAACGAUGUGGGCUUGGUGUCGGCCCCCUAUAGAGGGUCGUUGCCGGAGUUAACGCGUUAAGCCCACCGCCUGGGGAUUACGUCCGCAAGGAUGAAACUCAGGGGAAUUGACGGGGGCCCACACAACCGGUGG
rnacentral:rRNA from 1 species